UUGAUAAAUUUGAUCCUUCUUUUGUUCCAACCCUUUCCCAGGUGAAUGAUGCUCAAUGAAUUUGUCUUUAGCAUUUUCAAGAUACCAUUGAUUUGAUUUCAAUUGGUUUAAGAGUCUUGCUUUACCUAUUACUUAUGAUAGGAAAAAUUAACUUUCAUAAUGUCAUUUAGGACAAUAUAGAAAUAUGUAUUUAUUACUAUUAUCAUGUAUGAUCAAACUGAAUUUUUCAAAACCAAAUUAGCUAAGCUUGUCUAUUCCUAAGAUUUCCAUUACCAAAUUUUGAGUUCUGAAACAAAUGGUUUCCUCGUAAUCCAACUGUUGUUUGCUACCUCAUCUGAUUGGAAUUUUCUUAAAUGUUCAAUUGGUCAAGGUUGGUGGUAGUUUUUAGAGCAAAAAGGUGCUGAACCUGAUCCAAGGAAUAUCUUUCCUGCUUAGCCAAGAUCAUACUAUUAUUCUCUUCCAGUUUCAAUAGAUACAUCUGAAUUUGGCAUAAUGUUCUCAGCUAUCCUAUCCAUCAUCUAGUUGAAGCAUGAUUGGGCUCGUAUAGCAAAAUCUAACUAUCAUCAUUUCCAUAUUUUUCUAAGUGAACUCUCUAACCUUAUCAUGUGAAUCGUUUUAACCAAAUACUAGCAAAGCAGUUAUUUGUCUAUUUUUUCUGGUUAAUAUUUUCAAUUAGAAAUUUUAGCAAAUAGGAAAUGAUAAAAUACUUCUGAAGUUAUGUAAUAUGUACCAAAAUUAGUACAACAACAACAUACUUAGAAUGUGCAUUCCUUACCUCUACCUCAAAGGUAGAGAGGCUAUUCCGAUAGACCUUCAGUUAAGGAAAAACAAUCCAAAUCACCCCCAAAAAGAAACUAUAGGAGUGCAAGAAGCAUACCAAAAUUAGCAUUGUUAGAGUUUGUGUACGAUCGUCAUCUUCAUGUUUAUCAUGCUUUUCUUCUUCUUCCACCGCCCCUCUCUUUUUUCCUCUUUCAAGGUAUAUCAAUCACUUUCCUUAUUCCUCUAUUUUCGAUUGAGUAUGAUUGGGUUUUUUUCUUUUCAUUAGCUUUACCAUGUGCAGAUUUCAUGCUUCUUUGGACUUUAGUGAGGCGUAAUCCACCAUCCCACUUUGUUCAUAGAGAUUUACAACAUGACGGUUUUGAAGUCUUAUGUAGAAGCUGCUCUUCAAGUUGUACAUUCUGCCAUAUACCAUAAUGAACUGACUGAAAUGGAGGAACAUGAGCAAUAAAGAGAAAAGGAAUUGGGGAAGAAUCGUAGCACUGACCAUAGUGCUGAGAAUAAUGCUUCAUCUCAUAAAUGCAGAGCUAAAAAUGAUGCUGGUGCUGAACCAGCUCAUUAUAAAACUAGGGGAGUUGGUGGCUGUGAAGAAAUGGAAACUGAUGAUACUCCUAUAGCUGAAAUCAACAUAUCUCCAGAGAGAUUGCAAGCAUUCAGUGCAACACUUGGUAGGCACAAGAACUUACAACAUGUGGAACAAAUUUUAGUUGCCGAUGUGGAGAGUAUUGCCAAUAAUGGGGUGACUAUACCUUACUCAAAGGCAGAGAUAGAAAAAUUAUUUCCAGUAUGCUGGUUUCUGAUUACAAAUUUCUUCGAUUUUUGAGUUCCAAAUGAAUGUGUAGAUUGCCUUUUUUUUCACUAGUAAGCAAAACUGAAAUAUGUAUCACUUGGAUACCAUAGUUUUUUAAGGUUAAAUAGCUAA